rnacentral:rRNA from 1 species
CUUGCAUCUUGAUUUAAUUUUGAACGAGUGGCGGACGGGUGAGUAACACGUGGGUAACCUGCCCUUAAGUGGGGGAUAACAUUUGGAAACAGAUGCUAAUACCGCAUAAAUCCAAGAACCGCAUGGUUCUUGGCUGAAAGAUGGCGUAAGCUAUCGCUUUUGGAUGGACCCGCGGCGUAUUAGCUAGUUGGUGAGGUAACGGCUCACCAAGGCAAUGAUACGUAGCCGAACUGAGAGGUUGAUCGGCCACAUUGGGACUGAGACACGGCCCAAACUCCUACGGGAGGCAGCAGUAGGGAAUCUUCCACAAUGGACGCAAGUCUGAUGGAGCAACGCCGCGUGAGUGAAGAAGGCUUUCGGGUCGUAAAACUCUGUUGUUGGAGAAGAAUGGUCGGCAGAGUAACUGUUGUCGGCGUGACGGUAUCCAACCAGAAAGCCACGGCUAACUACGUGCCAGCAGCCGCGGUAAUACGUAGGUGGCAAGCGUUAUCCGGAUUUAUUGGGCGUAAAGCGAGCGCAGGCGGUUUUUUAAGUCUGAUGUGAAAGCCCUCGGCUUAACCGAGGAAGUGCAUCGGAAACUGGGAAACUUGAGUGCAGAAGAGGACAGUGGAACUCCAUGUGUAGCGGUGAAAUGCGUAGAUAUAUGGAAGAACACCAGUGGCGAAGGCGGCUGUCUGGUCUGUAACUGACGCUGAGGCUCGAAAGCAUGGGUAGCGAACAGGAUUAGAUACCCUGGUAGUCCAUGCCGUAAACGAUGAAUGCUAGGUGUUGGAGGGUUUCCGCCCUUCAGUGCCGCAGCUAACGCAUUAAGCAUUCCGCCUGGGGAGUACGACCGCAAGGUUGAAACUCAAAGGAAUUGACGGGGGCCCGCACAAGCGGUGGAGCAUGUGGUUUAAUUCGAAGCAACGCGAAGAACCUUACCAGGUCUUGACAUCUUUUGAUCA